rnacentral:misc_RNA from 1 species
AGAAGAAGAAGAAGAAGAAGCAGCCGGGAAAGAUGUCGUGGCAAGUUUACGUCGAUGAUCAUUUGAUGUGCGAAAUUGAGGGCAAUCACCUCACAUCUGCGGCCAUUAUCGGCCAAGACGGCAGUGUUUGGGCUAAAAGCGAAAAUUUCCCUCAGCUCAAGCCUGAAGAAAUUACUGGCAUCUUGAAUGACUUCAAUGAACCCGGGACGCUUGCUCCGACUGGUUUGUACAUUGGUGGUUCAAAAUAUAUGGUAAUCCAAGGGGAGCCUGGAGCUGUUAUUCGUGGGAAGAAGGGCCCAGGUGGGGUUACUGUUAAGAAGACUGCUCUGGCUUUAGUCAUUGGCAUCUAUGAUGAACCAAUGACUCCUGGUCAGUGCAAUAUGAUUGUUGAAAGGCUUGGGGAUUAUCUCGUCGAACAGGGCCUCUAAAUAUCGGGAAACCGCUUAUUGUUUGUACAAGUCUAUGGACUCUUGAAUGGAAAUGGGUUUGAUGCUUGAGGAGUGAUGCUUAUGUUUCUCGUUAUUAGUGUUGUCUCUUUCACUUUUUUUUUCUUUGAAAUAUUGUGGUGGUUUUCAAGUGAGGUCCAUGUUGUAGCAUCAAAUAUAUGGAUAUGGUAAACCAAUCAGCAUAAAUUUAUAAUUACCUCUUCUAUUUUAUCUGUUGAUUUUUGCAGCAGGCUCCUGUAUAACAUGAGGAGAUAUAGUUUCUCAUAACCCAAAUGUGGGAUGUUGGG